rnacentral:rRNA from 1 species
GACGAACGCUGGCGGCGUGCUUAACACAUGCAAGUCGAACGGAAAGGCCCUGCUUUUGUGGGGUGCUCGAGUGGCGAACGGGUGAGUAACACGUGAGUAACCUGCCCUUGACUUUGGGAUAACUUCAGGAAACUGGGGCUAAUACCGGAUAGGAGCUCCUGCUGCAUGGUGGGGGUUGGAAAGUUUCGGCGGUUGGGGAUGGACUCGCGGCUUAUCAGCUUGUUGGUGGGGUAGUGGCUUACCAAGGCUUUGACGGGUAGCCGGCCUGAGAGGGUGACCGGCCACAUUGGGACUGAGAUACGGCCCAGACUCCUACGGGAGGCAGCAGUGGGGAAUAUUGCACAAUGGGCGGAAGCCUGAUGCAGCAACGCCGCGUGCGGGAUGACGGCCUUCGGGUUGUAAACCGCUUUCGCCUGUGACGAAGCGUGAGUGACGGUAAUGGGUAAAGAAGCACCGGCUAACUACGUGCCAGCAGCCGCGGUGAUACGUAGGGUGCGAGCGUUGUCCGGAUUUAUUGGGCGUAAAGGGCUCGUAGGUGGUUGAUCGCGUCGGAAGUGUAAUCUUGGGGCUUAACCCUGAGCGUGCUUUCGAUACGGGUUGACUUGAGGAAGGUAGGGGAGAAUGGAAUUCCUGGUGGAGCGGUGGAAUGCGCAGAUAUCAGGAGGAACACCAGUGGCGAAGGCGGUUCUCUGGGCCUUUCCUGACGCUGAGGAGCGAAAGCGUGGGGAGCGAACAGGCUUAGAUACCCUGGUAGUCCACGCUGUAAACGGUGGGUACUAGGUGUGGGGUCCAUUCCACGGGUUCCGUGCCGUAGCUAACGCUUUAAGUACCCCGCCUGGGGAGUACGGCCGCAAGGCUAAAACUCAAAGGAAUCGACGGGGCCCCGCACAAGCGGCGGAGCAUGCGGAUUAAUUCGAUGCAACGCGUAGAACCUUACCUGGGUUUGACAUGGAUCGGGAGUGCUCAGAGAUGGGUGUGCCUCUUUUGGGGUCGGUUCACAGGUGGUGCAUGGCUGUCGUCAGCUCGUGUCGUGAGAUGUUGGGUUAAGUCCCGCAACGAGCGCAACCCUUGUUCACUGUUGCCAGCACGUUAUGGUGGGGACUCAGUGGAGACCGCCGGGGCCAACUCGGAGGAAGGUGGGGAUGACGUCAAGUCAUCAUGCCCCUUAUGUCCAGGGCUUCACGCAUGCUACAAUGGCUGGUACAGAGAGUGGCGAGCCUGUGAGGGUGAGCGAAUCUCGGAAAGCCGGUCUCAGUUCGGAUUGGGGUCUGCAACUCGACCUCAUGAAGUCGGAGUCGCUAGUAAUCGCAGAUCAGCAACGCUGCGGUGAAUACGUUCCCGGG